GGGGGGGGGGGGGGGGGGGGGGGGGGGGGGGGGGUCGGGCGGGAGCAGGGGGGGGCGUGCUGCGUGGCUGACGAGUGGCGGACGGGUGAGGAAUGUCUGGGAAACUGCCUGAUGGAGGGGGAUAACUACUGGAAACGGUAGCUACUACCGCAUAACGUCGCAAGACCAAAGAGGGGGACCUUCGGGCCUCUUGCCAUCGGAUGUGCCCAGAUGGGAUUAGCUAGUAGGUGGGGUAACGGCUCACCUAGGCGACGAUCCCUAGCUGGUCUGAGAGGAUGACCAGCCACACUGGAACUGAGACACGGUCCAGACUCCUACGGGAGGCAGCAGUGGGGAAUAUUGAACAAUGGGCGCAAGCCUGAUGCAGCCAUGCCGCGUGUAUGAAGAAGGCCUUCGGGUUGUAAAGUACUUUCAGCGGGGAGGAAGGGAGUAAAGUUAAUACCUUUGCUCAUUGACGUUACCCGCAGAAGAAGCACCGGCUAACUCCGUG
rnacentral:rRNA from 1 species